UGCCCUGCCCGCUUGCUAGCAGACUGACAGCUGCACAGACGCGGCAGAGCUGGGCAGGAGGGGUGAAGCGGGGGGAGAAAGGGACCGCUUGCAGGCUUACAUGGGCAGAGUCUUAUUUGGGGAUCUGGGCCCACAUGGGCUCUGCACGGAAGCUCUCCCCGGCCCCCUUCCGAGUGACACGGCAAAGUGAAGCCCGCUGCCCCCACGGCGGUCACGGUCAGUCGCGAGAUGCAGUUAACGGCGGCCACGGGGUAAGUGCUGGUCAGUGAGACACGAUCCGAAGUGGGACACACGACUUCACACUUUGCCACCUUCUCUCUCUUGCAGACUAGACUGUGGGCGUGACGGCCGGAGGCUGAGCAACCUUCUUGGGGCAGAAAACAAAUGCCGAGGGAAGGGCAGGUGGGAAGAGGGAGCCUGGAGCCUAGGUCUUCAAGACUCUGAAUGGCCACUUUAGCUCCGGACAAGCUCCCUCUGACUUCUCUUAUGAUGGAGAGAACUAUCUUGUGGAAGCCACUUUUGCUUAUCUGUUGAUUUCCGUUGUGCACAUUUGGACCUGAUCCGAACAGAUACUUCUGAGAAAGGAUUCUUCUGGCCAUCACGCACCAGCAGAAAAGACUCUCCGGGUGGUAAUAGGACCAACGGAUUCUCAUCCUAGACAAUCAGAAAAGUUUGUUCUGUUUUCAAGUUAUUUUGCUAUUGUUUUUGUUUAUUCUUUUUUCUUUUUCUUUUCUGGUCUUUCUGUGGUUUUUUUUUCCCCCUCUUUUUUUGCAUGCCCGUUCAGAACAUUAGACAAAGUCUCCCUUGGGUCCCUGCCUUUUUCUUUUCGAUUCUGUUUCUGAAAGGCUUUCUGCCUGGAGAUAAAUGCUUUAUGAUUUUGUUUUAAUCCUUGAAAUGUGUCAACGCAAAAGACUUCUUGUCAGUUUUGCUGUAAA